rnacentral:lncRNA from 1 species
UUUUAUCUCUCUCUCACACAUAGUUUUUCUCCCUUAUAUAGGGCUUACAAUUCUCCCUCUGCAACCGGUAAAUCUAACACCAUGAAUCCAAGAGUUAGAAGCACCUGCACAUCAUCACCAACAAAGAAAGAGGCACCAUCAUUUCACAGAUAUCUAAAGCCAGGAGCUUUAGCCCAAAUCAGAGACUCCAAAUUCACGGCCAAAGCAAGAAAAUCCAGACCCAAUUCACAAACUCUGAUGGCUUUGCAAUUUAUCAACAACCCCUCUUUAACAGCAACCCUACACCCCAUGGAAGAUGCCCCUUCUUUCCCUUUGAGGAUUAGUCAUCCUCGAUGCAUUCAAAGAAAGAAACUUUCGGCCUUUGCGCCGCCUGCUUUUUCUGCUAUCCAGUCUUAAAAUGGUUUAAAGUAAGAAUUUUGCGAGAGGAGUUCCUGUUUCUCAUCUUGUGUUUUUGUUGUAACUCUUUGUUUAUUAAAUUUCUUCAUAUUGAUACAGACUCAAAUUUAUAGAAAGACGUGAAAUGAAAAAAC